GACGAACGCUGGCGGCGUGCUUAACGCAUGCAAGUCGAACGGAAAGGCCCUGCUUUUGUGGGGUGCUCGAGUGGCGAACGGGUGAGUAACACGUGAGUAACCUGCCCUUGACUUUGGGAUAACUUCAGGAAACUGGGGCUAAUACCGGAUAGGAGCUCCUGCUGCAUGGUGGGGGUUGGAAAGUUUCGGCGGUUGGGGAUGGACUCGCGGCUUAUCAGCUUGUUGGUGGGGUAGUGGCUUACCAAGGCUUUGACGGGUAGCCGGCCUGAGAGGGUGACCGGCCACAUUGGGACUGAGAUACGGCCCAGACUCCUACGGGAGGCAGCAGUGGGGAAUAUUGCACAAUGGGGGGAAGCCUGAUGCAGCAACGCCGCGUGCGGGAUGACGGCCUUCGGGUUGUAAACCGCUUUCGCCUGUGACGAAGCGUGAGUGACGGUAAUGGGUAAAGAAGCACCGGCUAACUACGUG
rnacentral:rRNA from 1 species